GACAGAGGUGCCAAGCGUUAGGCGGAAUCACUGGGCUUAAAGCGUGUGUAGGCGGCUCGUUUAGUACCUUGUGAAAUCCCACGGCUCAACCGUGGAACUGCUUGGUAUACUGGCGGGCUUGAGCCAUCUAGGGGCGACCGGAACAAAUGGUGGAGCGGUGAAAUGCGUAGAGAUCGGGAGGAAUACCAGUGGCGAAGGCGGCCUGCUGGGCCACGACCGACACUGAGGUGCGAAAGCGUGGGGAGCGAACCGG
rnacentral:rRNA from 1 species